rnacentral:lncRNA from 1 species
CUCUAUAAUGACUAGAUACAAGGUAAACUAGAUGUUAAUUCCAGAAAUGGUUCAGUAAAAAUUCUGCUAGUAUGAAUACAAGGUAUUAUAUAUGAUACACUUAUUCUGAACAAUAACUAAACUUAUUCUGUUUCUGUCACUGCUUUAUUUGGCAUCACUGGACAUUUCAAUCUGCUUCCAUUCUUCAUAGGCUUCUCUUCUCCAUGGCUACUUCUCCUUUAUGAUAAGCAUGUAAUGCAUCUUCUAAUCUUUUUCAAUUAACACAUCAAUUUACCUAAUCAAGAAACGCAAACAACCCAGAUUGGCAUCCAUUUAAUGAAAGAAAUAUUCAAAGUUCAUGAUACCUUAUUUGAUAUGAUUGCAAUUCUUACUUGAAUUUCACAUUGAUGCAUCAUCCUUCCAGCCCGCAAUUUUUAUGUAACAUGUUCCCAUAUCAUACCUUCCU